rnacentral:rRNA from 1 species
CCUUAUAUCGUACCCACAUUUACUUGGAUAACUGUGGUAAUUCUAGAGCUAAUACAUGCAAACAGAGCUCCGACCGGAGACGGGAGGAGUGCUUUUAUUAGAUCAAAACCAAUCGGCGGCGGGCGCGCUCGCGCGUCCGUUCGCCGCUCAACCUGGUGACUCUGAAUAACUUUCCGCUGAUCGCACGGUCUCGCACCGGCGACGCAUCUUUCAAAUGUCUGCCUUAUCAACUGUCGAUGGUAGGUUCUGCGCCUACCAUGGUCGUAACGGGUAACGGGGAAUCAGGGUUCGAUUCCGGAGAGGGAGCCUGAGAAACGGCUACCACAUCCGAGGAAGGCAGCAGGCGCGCAAAUUACCCACUCCCGGCACGGGGAGGUAGUGACGAAAAAUAACGAUACGGGACUCAUCCGAGGCCCCGUAAUCGGAAUGAGUACACUUUAAAUCCUUUAACGAGGAUCAAUUGGAGGGCAAGUCUGGUGCCAGCAGCCGCGGUAACUCCAGCUCCUAUAGCGUAU